rnacentral:rRNA from 1 species
CGGGGGGCUGCAGUGGGGAAUCUUGCACAAUGGGCGAAAGCCUGAUGCAGCCAUGCCGCGUGAAUGAUGAAGGCCUUAGGGUUGUAAAAUUCUUUCGUCAGGGAUGAUAAUGACCGUACCUGAAGAAGAAGCCCCGGCUAACUUCGUGCCAGCAGCCGCGGUAAUACGAAGGGGGCUAGCGUUGUUCGGAAUUACUGGGCGUAAAGCGCACGUAGGCGGACUUUUAAGUCAGGUGUGAAAUCCCGGGGCUCAACCUCGGAACUGCAUUUGAAACUGGGAGUCUUGAGAUCAGGAGAGGUUAGCGGAAUACCGAGUGUAGAGGUGAAAUUCGUAGAUAUUCGGUGGAACACCAGUGGCGAAGGCGGCUAACUGGACUGAUACUGACGCUGAGGUGCGAAAGUGUGGGGAGCAAACAGGAUUAGAUACCCCAGUANUC